CUGUAGCACCCUGCUUGUGGUUAACGCUUAGCUGGAAUGAAAUAUUCAACGCAGCAAUAGAGAAAUUAAAAUAAUAAUUUAUUUGUCAGACAAAUAAAUGAGAGACACAGUGGUAUAUGGAUACCAAAGCUCUGCCUACUCCAGCCCUGAUGGCCAGCACUUAUAUUUCCUCAGCCCAGCCCCCUUGCUCCUCCUUUGGCUGCCUCUGUCCAAUCAGCCUGGUUGAAAUUCCUAUUGGUUGUUUGCUAGAACCAAUCAUAAAAGAUACACCCAUUUCCUAUUUCCUUUUAUGGGAGACAAAAAGCUAUAUUUCCUUGUAUCCAUAAAUGGCAGACAAGUAGCCAUAUAUCUUACAUUUACCUCGACCAGGCACCUCAAUUACCAGAUAACCUUUGGCCCCUGUUGCCCUAUUCACCGCAAACCAGAUGGCUAAAGCAGAUGGUGCAUGGUUUCUAAUUUUUUUUAUCUUAAAGAGAUCUUGAGUUCACCUUCUCACCCACCAUAAUAGGAAUCUAACAUAAGAAUCUAACAUUUCUUACUUUCUAAAUCCUUUGCAUAAUUACAUUUAAGCCAAUAUAUUUCAUACAUAACAUAGAUAGAUUUUUAGAAGGAAAGGCCUUUUCAAAUUAAAGGAAUUUAGUAAAAGCUAAGUUCCUAAGUUCUAUAAAUUCUCUGAAGCUUCAAAACAGUUUGGAGAGAGGCCUUUUCCCUAACCAGCAGCUGUUUCUAAGAGCAACCUCUUCCAUUUAACCUUUAACCUUAUGGCUCGAGUUUUCUGUUAAACAAUAAAUUUCACUAUUUACCAG
rnacentral:lncRNA from 1 species